UACGAGGGGGGCAAGCGUUGUUCGGAAUUAUUGGGCGCAAAGGGCGCGUAGGCGGUGCGGUAAGUCACCUGUGAAAACUCUGGGCUCAACUCAGAGCCUGCAGGCGAAACUGCCGUGCUGGAGUGUGGGAGAGGUGCGUGGAAUUCCCGGUGUAGCGGUGAAAUGCGUAGAUAUCAGGAGGAACACCUGCGGUGUAGACGGCUUUCUGGACCAUUACUGACACUGAGACACGAAAGCGUGGGUAGCAAACAGG
rnacentral:rRNA from 1 species